CUGCGCCGUCGAGGAUGGUGUCUUCAUCUAUAUCGAAAUUAACGAUGCUCGUCAGAUCUGAUGUUAUGGCGAAGUGAAGAUCCGAAAAGUAUUAGUUUUCUUACGGUGUGAGAGUGACGGCGAAAGGGUUGUGCUUUGAUGGCGUCUUCUCCUCGCAACUCUGAGAAAGUGUCGUAGGUAGCUUCAGCCAUUUCACCGUAGUGAAUAAGAUAUCGACGGAGAUCCAUGUCUAGAGGGUCGAGGAGGCCCUUCAAGUUUUUUGGCCGCUUAGCUCCUUCCAUCUUUUAGCUAUAUUUCCUGCACUCACUUCUCAGGGGACAUGGAAGGGCUUAUUAACAGGAUAAAUAAGUCAAUAAGUUAUGAGAAGAAGACGAAGAAGGCUUUCAUGGAUUAUGGAUUUCAUAUGGCAAUUGCCAAAUGGAAUGAAGCUGUUUCACAAGAAAUAUAAAUUAUAAUGAAAGAAAAAGUUCAUUCGCUCGGUUGUCAUCCACAGCCGACGAUUUCGAAGCCUCCCUCCUCGACGACGGCGCCACCCGCACCCGCCGCCUCAUGGAGGAUGAUACUGACCCUUCUCUUGAUUUGGGUCUCAAUGGCUGCCCUCUGUUCACUCCUACUGCCUCGCUCUCUCAGAAGUGUCUUUUCAAUUUUCAAACGCAUUGUCAG